UACGUAGGGUGCGAGCGUUGUCCGGAAUUAUUGGGCGUAAAGGGCUCGUAGGCGGUCUGUCACGUCGGGAGUGAAAACUCAGGGCUUAACCCUGAGCCUGCUUCCGAUACGGGCAGACUAGAGGUAUGCAGGGGAGAAUGGAAUUCCUGGUGUAGCGGUGAAAUGCGCAGAUAUCAGGAGGAACACCGGUGGCGAAGGCGGUUCUCUGGGCAUUACCUGACGCUGAGAAGCGAAAGUGUGGGGAGCGAACAGG
rnacentral:rRNA from 1 species